AUGAAGCGGUGCUGUGCCCUGGGAGGAAGAGCCCACAUCCAGAGCAGCAGCUCGUCUCCCACCGCCGUCUGGGCUGGACCUGGAAUCCAAGGAAGGAAGUGUCUCUCAUGGAGAGCUCCAUUCACUCCAAAGAAUUCCACAGCUUCGCCCACCCACAGGUGGCCUGAUGAGUCUAUCAUUAAACUUGAUUCUAACUGCCCUCCCUACUAACUAUUAGGACCAGGCACUGGACUGUGGACUAAUUUAGGAGCACAUGCUCCUGCUGUUCCAGACCUCUGGCCAUGGGACAGAGAUGCUGUGAUCUGCCUGCCAAGGCUACACCUGUUUUACACCACUGUGCCAUGGACUUUGUUUUCCGAAGAUCAACUCUUGACUUCAGAGCCAAGAAGGAGUCUGACAUUUCGUCUCCUCCAUCUUGAAACCUUCCAAUCAGAUUGAUUGUUAACUCACCCUCUUAACCUUUCAACCUUCUUCUUUAUGUCGCCUACCAAUACUCAUUGUUAUUUCAGUCAUUAAUGAGCUUCUGUCUUAUAAACCUGCUCCCCCCUCCCAGGCAACAUCAUUCUUAGCAGUAUCAACAUUCGUGUGCCCAUCCAGGAUCUGGUCUUUCUUUCUCUUUAUUUCUCCAUUCCAAUGGCAUUUUCUUCUACUCUCUCUCAACGGCUCCUGUGGUUGUUAUCUUCUGGAACUUGUGGUUACCAAAAGUUGUACCAUAGCUUAAUUUUCCAAAAUGGAUGUCCCACUUUCCAACCAGUUCUUAAAAUUUGUCUUGAUUUCUAGUCCAUUAAGUUCAAAUUCCUUAUACUUUUCUACAAAGUCUUGUUUGACCAAAGAUAAACUUCCAUGCUAAGGUUAAACCCACCCUUGCCCACUGGAGUCCAUCCUGUCUUGCCUAGGUGAGGACUUCGUUCCACUUAGCCACUCUUCCUUGUCUUGCAUUCCCCUCUGCAUGAUUAUAUUCUUUAACAUGUUGUCAUAUUUCCAUCUUAAGAAGCAAAAACAAACAACAACAAAAAAAACUCCCUCGAUUCCAUAUUCCCUUUCCUCCUCUUGAAAGCAAAACUCUUCAAAAGAUGUGUGUAAUCCUUGGCUCUGCUUCCUCUUUUCUCAUUUCCUUGACUCCUCUCCAAUUAGGCUUUUGCUUGCAUUGCUCUCCUGAAACUUCUCUCAUCAAAUUCCCCAAUGUGCAAAAAGAUUUGUAUAAGUUCUGUGAUAUUAAUUUAUCCUGCACUAGAAGUAACAAUUGAAGCCAUGGACAACAGACUUCGGUUAACAAUUUAUCAAGGAAGCUUGAACAGAAUUUGAAGGAUCUUGACACAGAUGCUCGGAGAAGACAAAGCCAUUACUUGCCUGUAUAUUUGGUUUGAGUAGAUAAGGAAAACAUUUAUCAAAGCAUUGCAUGCCUUUACCCAUAAAUCUUAACUUAAAUUUAUAUUUUCUGUACCCUCAUAGACCUGCGUUUCUGUUUAAGUGUAUCUGCUAAGGAAGGCAAAGAGCUUUCAAGUAAUGCUAAAAGGUUUAUUUUGAUGUUUCUAAAGAUUGUGGAUGUAAACUGAAACUGUUAAGCUUUGUUACAAGAAAUGACUUUAUAAAAACUGUGUCCUGUAAAAAUAUUUUGCUCAUUUAUGUUGUAAAUGUUUGUUAUAGGGAGUUAUAAUAGUUGACUCAACAAUCUAUGUCACAGACUCUUUACUCUAGGCUCAUUCAUUGUUAAGGGAAUCGGCUUUACUCGUGAGUCAGAGAGCAUUUGAAUGCCCUUUGUUUUCACUUUCUCCCUAAGAGCCUAUUAGUAAUAAAACUCAUGACUCUAAGAAAGCA
rnacentral:lncRNA from 1 species